AUACGGAAGGUGCGAGCGUUAUCCGGAUUCAUUGGGUUUAAAGGGAGCGCAGGCGGAGAUGCAAGCGUGACGUCAAAUUUCGGGGCUCAACCCCGUCUCGCGUCGCGAACUGCGUCCCUUGGUUGCGGGAAGGGGAGGCGGAACUCGUGGUGUAGCGGUGAAAUGCAUAGAUAUCACGAAGAACUCCGAUCGCGAAGGCAGCCUUCCGGCCCGUCAACGACGCUCAUGCUCGAAGGUGCGGGUAUCAAACAGGAUUAGAUACCCUGGUAGUCCGCACAGUAAACGAUGGACACCCGCGGUUUGGCCUAUAUGGCUGAGCCGCCAAGCGAAAGCGUUAAGUGUCCCGCCUGGGGAGUACGCCGGCAACGGUGAAACUCAAAUGAAUUGACGGGG
rnacentral:rRNA from 1 species